rnacentral:rRNA from 1 species
UACGGGGGGAGCAAGCGUUGUUCGGAAUUACUGGGCGUAAAGGGCGCGUAGGCGGCCUUCUAAGUCAGACGUGAAAUCCCCCGGCUUAACCUGGGAACUGCGUCUGAUACUGGAAGGCUUGAGUGCGGGAGAGGGAUGUGGAAUUCCAGGUGUAGCGGUGAAAUGCGUAGAUAUCUGGAGGAACACCGGUGGCGAAGGCGGCAUCCUGGACCGACACUGACGCUGAGGCGCGAAAGCUAGGGUAGCAAACGGG